rnacentral:rRNA from 1 species
CGGGUGAGUAACGCGUGAGGAACCUGCCUCAAAGAGGGGGACAACAGUUGGAAACGACUGCUAAUACCGCAUAAGCCCACGGCUCGGCAUCGAGCAGAGGGAAAAGGAGUGAUCCGCUUUGGGAUGGCCUCGCGUCCGAUUAGCUAGUUGGUGAGGUAAUGGCCCACCAAGGCGACGAUCGGUAGCCGGACUGAGAGGUUGAACGGCCACAUUGGGACUGAGACACGGCCCAG